rnacentral:rRNA from 1 species
UGGGGAAUAUUGCGCAAUGGGGGGAACCCUGACGCAGCCAUGCCGCGUGAAUGAAGAGGGCCUUAGGGUUGUAAAGUUCUUUCGGUAUUGAGGAAGGUUGAUGUGUUAAUAGCACAUCAAAUUGACGUUAAAUACAGAAGAAGCACCGGCUAACUCCGUGCCAGCAGCCGCGGUAAUACGGAGGGUGCGAGCGUUAAUCGGAAUAACUGGGCGUAAAGGGCACGCAGGCGGUUAUUUAAGUGAGGUGUGAAAGCCCCGGGCUUAACCUGGGAAUUGCAUUUCAGACUGGGUAACUAGAGUACUUUAGGGAGGGGUAGAAUUCCACGUGUAGCGGUGAAAUGCGUAGAGAUGUGGAGGAAUACCGAAGGCGAAGGCAGCCCCUUGGGAAUGUACUGACGCUCAUGUGCGAAAGCGUGGGGAGCAAACAGGAUUAGAUACCCUGGUAGUCCACGCUGUAAACGCUGUCGAUUUGGGGGUUGGGGUUUAACUCUGGCGCCCGUAGCUAACGUGAUAAAUCGACCGCCUGGGGAGUACGGCCGCAAGGUUA